CCCCUGUAAUAAAAUAAGUAGCCUGUUCAUAAAUUCUCAUGUUCAGUUCUUAUCUUUUGGGCCUACUGUGAGGCUUUUAAUGGAAUGCUGCCUAUUGGCUUCGUAGUUCGCUUAUAUAACCUUGACUAAUCAGGGUAUUUAUGUUCACAAAAUAAUUGGGUGACUCUUAAGGCUGACUUGGCUUGAAGGUGUUCAAGUCAAGUGCCGCACGGUUCCUGGUGAUUGCUAAAAUCUAAAACCGUGACAAUUGGUAUCAGAGCAAGAAAGAUCUGCGAGCAAGAUAAAGGAAUGACGAAGUUUGGCACACACACGAAGGCCAUUGAGAGAAAGGUGAGAAUCGCGC
rnacentral:lncRNA from 1 species